rnacentral:rRNA from 1 species
GAGAUAGCUGGUUCUCCCCGAAAUAGCUUUAGGGCUAGCCUCAGGGAAAAGAUUGCAGGCGGUAGAGCACUGAUCAGGAGAGGGACCUACCCGGUUACCAAACCCAGUCAAACUCCGAAUGGCUGCAAUCAUACCUGGGAGUCAGACUGCGACUAAUAAGGGCCGUAGUCAAAAGGGAAACAGCCCAGACCAUCAGCUAAGGUCCCCAAUGCCGUGCUAAGUGGCGAAGGAUGUGGCAUUUCAUAAACAACCAGGAUGUUGGCUCAGAAGCAGCCACCAUUUAAAGAGUGCGUAAUAGCUCACUGGUCGAGAGACGCUGCGCCGAAAAUGUCCGGGGCUCAAGCACGGAACCGAAGCUAUGGCAUGAUAGCAAUAUCAUGGGUAGGGGAGCGUUCUUAUAAGGAAGAAGCAUGACCGGAAGGACAUGUGGACGAAUAAGAAGUGAGAAUGCCGGUAUGAGUAUCGAAAAGAAAGGUGAGAAUCCUUUCCACCGAAAGCCCGAGGGUUCCUGAGCAACGAUCGUCGACUCAGGGUAAGUCGGGACCUAAGCCGAGGCGAGAAGCGUAGGCGAUGGACAACAGGUUGAAAUUCCUGUACCGGAUCAAGUCGAUCGAGCGAAGGAGCGACGCAGGAGGGCACAUGAUCGCGCGGCUGGAAGAGCGCGUCCAAGUGCGUAUGUUGCAGCAGAGGAAAACCCCUGCAGCUAAAAGCAGAGACAUGAUGGGGAGUUAAAGGAAACUUUGACGAACUCAUGAAUCCCACACUGCCAAGAAAAACUUCUAGCGAGACAAGAUCCGCCCGUACCGUAAACCGACACAGGUAGGCGGGGAGAGAAUCCUAAGGUGCGCGGGAAAACCCUCGUUAAGGAACUCGGCAAAUUGCAUCCGUAACCUAGGGAGAAGGAUGGCCCCCGGUCAGUGAAGAGCAGAAACGCUCAGAGCUAAAAGGGGCGGCAGAAAAGAGGCCCAAGCAACUGUUUACCAAAAACACAGGUGCCUGCGAAAGCGAAAGCUGAAGUAUAGGUGCUGACGCCUGCCCGGUGCCGGAAGGUUAAGGAGAGAAGUUAGCGAAAGCGAAGCAUCGAACUGAAGCCCCGGUGAACGGCGGCCGUAACUAUAACGGUCCUAAGGUAGCGAAAUUCCUUGUCGGGUAAGUUCCGACCCGCAUGAAAGGCGUAAUGAUUUGGGCACUGUCUCAACGAGGGGCCCGGUGAAAUUGAAAUACCUGUGAAGAUGCAGGUUACCCGCGACUGGACAGAAAGACCCCAUGGAGCUUCACUGCAGCUUGAGAUUGAAUCCCGGUGACAGAUGCACAGGAUAGGUGGGAGGCGCCGAAGCAUUGCCCUAGGGCGGUGCGGAGCCGAUGUUGGGAUACCACCCUUCUGUUGCUGAGAUUCUAACGCGAGGAGUAACGACCCUGCGGACCCUCUCAGGCAGGCGGUUUGACUGGGGCGGUCGCCUCCGAAAGAGUAACGGAGGCGCCCAAAGGUUCCCUCAGGCCGGACAGAAACCGGCCGAAGAGUGCAAAGGCAGAAGGGAGCUUGACUGCGAGACCAACAAGUCGAGCAGAGACGAAAGUCGGGCUUAGUGAUCCGGUGG